GAUGAACGCUGGCGGCGUGCCUAAUACAUGCAAGUCGAGCGAACGGACGAGAAGCUUGCUUCUCUGAUGUUAGCGGCGGACGGGUGAGUAACACGUGGAUAACCUACCUAUAAGACUGGGAUAACUUCGGGAAACCGUAGCUAAUACCGGAUAAUAUUUUGAACCGCAUGGUUCAAAAGUGAAAGACGGUCUUGCUGUCACUUAUAGAUGGAUCCGCGCCGCAUUAUCUAGUUGGUAAGGUAACGGCUUACCAAGGCAACGAUGCAUAGCCGACCUGAGAGGGUGAUCGGCCACACUGGAACUGAGACACGGUCCAGACUCCUACGGGAGGCAGCAGUAGGGAAUCUUCCGCAAUGGGCGAAAGCCUGACGGAGCAACGCCGCGUGAGUGAUGAAGGUCUUCGGAUCGUAAAACUCUGUUAUUAGGGAAGAACAUAUGUGUAAGUAACUGUGCACAUCUUGACGGUACCUAAUCAGAAAGCCACGGCUAACUACGUG
rnacentral:rRNA from 1 species